rnacentral:lncRNA from 1 species
GUGAGGAGUGUAGGGAGUGAUUAGUGACAGACAGGUGCAGGAUGGGUAUGUUCCAAAGUGGUUGGGAUGAGGUACAUGGGGAAAGUGUAAGGGGGUUUGAGUGAGGUGUGUUGAGGUGUUCGUACAUAGGGGGAGUCAGUGCAGUGUGUGUUGCAGCUAACUGCAGUCUUGAUGAUUUGAAUGAUAAAUAUGGGCAUUAGAUAACAUUAGGUAACAUUAGGUAACAUUAGGUAACAUUAAGUAACAUUAGAUAACAUUAGAUAACAUUAGGUAACAUUAGAUAACAUUAGGUAACAUGAGGUAACAUUAGGUAACAUUAGAUAACAUUAGGUAACAUUAGAUAACAUUAGAUAACAUUAGGUAACAUUAGGUAACAUUAGAUAACAUUAGGUAACAUUAGGUAACAUUAGGUAACAUUAGGUAACAUUAGAUAACAUUAGGUAACAUUAGGUAACAUUAGAUAACAUUAGGUAACAUUAGAUAACAUUAGGUAACAUUAGAUAACAUUAGGUAACAUUAGGUAACAUUAGAUAACAUUAGAUAACAUUAGGUAACAUUAGGUAACAUUAGAUAACAUUAGGUAACAUUAGAUAACAUUAGGUAACAUUAGGUAACAUUAGGUAACAUUAGGUAACAUUAGAUAACAUUAGCUAACAUUAGAUAACAUUAGGUAACAUUAGGUAACAUUAGAUAACAUUAGGUAACAUUAGAUAACAUUAGAUAACAUUAGAAAACAUUAGGUAACAUUAGGUAACAUUAGGUAACAUUAGGUAACAUUAGAUAACAUUAGAUAACAUUAGGUAACAUUAGAUAACAUUAGGUAACAUUAGAUAACAUUAGGUAACAUUAGAUAACAUUAGAUAACAUUAGGUAACAUUAGGUAACAUUAGAUAACAUUAGGUAACAUUAGAUAACAUUAGAUAACAUUAGAUAACAUUAGGUAACAUUAGCUGAGGUACUUGGGGGGUGGGAGGAAGUCUGGGGCUCUUGCGAUCGUUGACAUUUUUCGUACGGUCCUGUCGCCGUAUAGCAAAUCUCCUCCUGCUCAUCGUAAUGACGGCCUGCCAGCCAGCCAGACGGGGCUAGUGCCUCUCUGUCAAUCACAGGUUUCCAUGGUGAUCCAUGGACAGUCCCUCAUGACAGUCCUCAUACUGGACACCCUGGAGAGAGAGAGGGUGGG